rnacentral:lncRNA from 1 species
AUUUAUUAAAUAGCUAUCUUUUCUAACUUAAGUAUUGUUGGAUACAAAAACUAUACCGACUAUCUUAAUCUUGAUAUACAGACUCAGCAUUUAAUGAAUGCCUUCCAGCUCAAUUUUCUCCAGAAAGGCCUCGUAGUAGUACUGAAAUAGUCACUUUGUAGCCUCUGGUAGAGUUUGUGCCUCGUGGUAAGGACUCCAGAUUUAGAAUACACAUAUACUUUUAACUAGAACCUACUGUAGCAUUUAGUUGUGUGAAGGAGGUAAAUCCUUCAGUGUAUACUAAACAAGUGACAGCGCUGUGCCCUUUGAUGAGCCAGUUCGUGUGCUAGCCACUGCACAGCUUAGUUCUAGAGUGAGGGAGGCACUAAGGCAAACAAAAUCAUUUAAAAAUAAUAGGAAGUGCACAAAAAAGACGGUGUCAUGAGAGAGGCACUACCAGAUUGGGUACUGAGAGACAAGUUAAGAAGGUGACAAUUUCUUAAUCAUCAAGACCAUGAAUCAGCUGGUUUUGAAGUGACUUUGAUCUUUAAAACUAGCAUUUCAGUUUACUCUUUGCUGGUGGGCAAAGAAGAUGCAUCAAUGCUGCCCUCUGGUGGUAGUUGCCUUAAUAGUAUGCCAUCCUAUUAUUCUAAAAGUUACAUGGUUUACAUUGUUUUUUAACUUAAAGGACUUGUCCUCUUAGAAUUCAUCUUAAAUCUGUAUUUAGUUUCAAAUAAAUGCUUGGAUAUAGGUCCCUUAUUCAAGAAAUGUUAUUUAACCAAUGUGAAGAACUUCACUUUCAUAAAUGAAAGCAAAACCAAAGAAUGGAGUGUGAAUACACAACAGCAUAGGCAAGCUGGCAACUCACAGCCAGCUUAUGGCAAGACCUGUGCUGAUUGCAUUUGCCAUUGGAAAGGCUUACAUCGUUUAAAAUAGCUCUUUAGUAGAGAGGUUUUGAAGGAAUGUACUUAGGGCUUGAAGUGACAAAUGAUAAUAGAUAGGAACAUUUAAUACUUCGAGCAGGAGCUUUAUAUUAGACAACACUAAAGUUUCCCUGUAAUAUCACUAGAUUUUUAAACUUAAUAUUAUACAAAUUUGGUCUAUUUCCUUUAAGUAACUUUUUUUUUUUCAUUUUAGCUUUUACCCUGUGGGUGUUGUCUAGUAAUUGAAAGAUUUACUUGAAUAAUUUUUUUAUCCCCCUCCAGUUGAGACAGGGUGUCAUGUAUUCGAGGCUGAACUUAAACUCUACAUUAGAGGGUGGCCUUGAACCUCCUUAUUUUUCUGUCUGUCUCCUGACCAGCUGCAGUGGCCCUGAAGACUGAGUCGGGCUCCGCUCUGCCCACCAAGCAAGAUUCUUUUUGCCUUUCUCGUUUUGAAAUCUUAUAUAUCUCAAAUUUGAGAAAGGAUUAGGUUCAUGUAAUUUAAAGUAAAUGCGGCUGUUUUGUUUUGUUUUUAACUCCUGAAACAAUGUAUUAUUCUUAGUCCUUGUUGGAUGGCAGUAGCUCUGCUUUAGGCCUGUGAAUGUUUCAUCAUACACACAGGUACAUAUACUCUCCCACCCAUUGCAGUUACCUCAGAAAGAUAAAGUUGUAUAUAGAUGGUUUUAACCUACGAAAAAAGACAAGGAGUAAAUAUAUAGUGUUUGAAUUUUUUUUAAAACUAUAUAUUUAAAAAUAAGCCUUGAAAACAUAGUUUUUUAGUUAUAACAUGGACAUGUUGGCUCUGUGAUUUUAAAUGUUAAGUAUAAAAUUAGUUUGAUCAAAAUUAAAUAACUUACAGUAGCCUUUGACUCUUAAAAUG